AUUGAACGCUGGCGGCAGGCCUAACACAUGCAAGUCGAGCGAGCGGCGGACGGGUGAGUAAUGUCUGUGAAACUGCCUGAUGGAGGGGGAUAACUACUGGAAACGGUAGCUAAUACCGCAUACCCUCAAGUGUGCCCAGAUGGGAUUAGCUAGUAGGUGGGGUAACGGCUCACCUAGGCGACGAUCCCUAGCUGGUCUGAGAGUAUGACCAGCAACACUGGAACUGAGACACGGUCCAGACUCCUACGGGAGGCAGAAUUGGGGAAUAUUGCACAAGGGGCGAAAGCCUGAUGCAGCCAUGCGGCGUGUGUGAAGAAGGCCUUCGGGUUGUAAAGCACUUUAAGCGGGGAGGCGUUACCCGCAGAAGAAGCACCGGCUAACUCCGUGCCAGCAGCCGCGGUAAUUC
rnacentral:rRNA from 1 species